CACGUAGGAACCAAACGUUAUCCGAAUUUACUGGGCGUAAAGCGCGUGUAGGUGGUUCGGUAAGUUGGAUGUGAAAGCUCCCGGCUCAACUGGGAGAGGCCGUUCAAAACUACCGGGCUGGAGAGCGGUAGAGGAAGGUGGAAUUCCCGGUGUAGUGGUGACAUGCGUAGAUAUCGGGAGGAACACCAGUGGCGAAGGCGACCUUCUGGACCGUUUCUGACACUGAGAUGCGAAAGCUAGGGGAGCGAACGGG
rnacentral:rRNA from 1 species